GACGAACGCUGGCGGCGUGCUUAACACAUGCAAGUCGAACGGAAAGGCCCUUCUUUUGUGGGGUGCUCGAGUGGCGAACGGGUGAGUAACACGUGAGUAACCUGCCCUUGACUUUGGGAUAACUUCAGGAAACUGGGGCUAAUACCGGAUAGGAGCUCCUGCUGCAUGGUGGGGGUUGGAAAGUUUCGGCGGUUGGGGAUGGACUCGCGGCUUAUCAGCUUGUUGGUGGGGUAGUGGCUUACCAAGGCUUUGACGGGUAGCCGGCCUGAGAGGGUGACCGGCCACAUUGGGACUGAGAUACGGGCCGGACUCCUACGGGAGGCAGCAGUGGGGAAUAUUGCACGAUGGGCGGAAGCCUGAUGCAGCAACGCCGCGUGCGGGAUGACGGCCUUCGGGUUGUAAACCGCUUUCGCCUGUGACGAAGCGUGAGUGACGGUAAUGGGUAAAGAAGCACCGGCUAACUACGUG
rnacentral:rRNA from 1 species